GAUGAACGCUGGCGGCGUGCCUAGUACAUGUAAGUCGAGCGAACGGACGAGAAGCUUGCUUCCCUGAUGUUAGCGGCGGACGGGUGAGUAACACGUGGAUAACCUACCUAUAAGACUGGGAUAACUUCGGGAAACCGUAGCUAAUACCGGAUAAUAUUUUGAACCGCAUGGUUCAAAAGUGAAAGACGGUCUUGCUGUCACUUAUAGAUGGAUCCGCGCUGCAUUAGCUAGUUGGUAAGGUAACGGCUUACCAAGGCAACGAUGCAUAGCCGACCUGAGAGGGUGCUCGGCCACACUGGAACUGAGACACGGUCCAGACUCCUACGGGAGGCAGCAGUAGGGAAUCUUCCGCAAUGGGCGAAAGCCUGACGGAGCAACGCCGCGUGAGUGAUGAAGGUCUUCGGAUCGUAAAACUCUGUUAUUAGGGAAGAACAUAUGUGUAAGUAACUGUGCACAUCUUGACGGUACCUAAUCAGAAAGCCACGGCUAACUA
rnacentral:rRNA from 1 species